GAGAUAAAAUCACCAAUUUUGAGGAACGAACUUACUGUUAAUUGUUGGUCUAUUAUACAUGGAAUUUGUUGUAUUUAACUGUGAAUUAUAUAUUCAAUUAAAUGUAUUGUAAUAUUGUGAAACAUGUAUAAAAAAAUGUGUGUAUAAAUUAACAAACUGUGUGAAUGUGUGAUGGACUCUUGUUAAUUAUUGUACGGGAGAAAGAACUGGCUGCGCACUGUCUACAGAAUAGCUGUUUGUGGUUGCCGUCGGUACUGCAUAGAAAUGCAGUUUUGGUUGUGUUUUGGAUUUCUACCGACGGCCUUUUGAUCAGUGGAUAAUAGUCGAUGUUGGGAGCCUGGCAGCGAACACAUACACACAAUGUAUUCCAGGACGGCGAGGAAGAUAAAAAACGCAACAUCGGAUGGUUCAAUGGAACCAUUUUCGUGGGCAUAUCGGCGAUAUAAGGGUGGCCUAAAUAUUAUAGAAUAACAUGUAGAUGGUGUUCUCAUUAACAGAAAUCGGAAAUUCAAAAUCCCCCAAAAUUCCCCUACAUUGAGACGGCAAAGUUCCACUAGGAACAUUAGUGUCAUUUAAGAAGAAGAAGAAGACGGUGACCUAUAAAAGGGAUGGGAUAAAUCCACAAGAAAACAUACGUAUGUGAUUAUCUGUAACGUGUGUGUCAUUGAAUAAAACUGAC